rnacentral:rRNA from 1 species
CGAACGCUGGCGGCAGGCCUAAUACAUGCAAGUCGAACGGCUCUUCGGAGCAGUGGCGGACGGGUGAGUAACGCGUGGGAAUGUGCCCUUAGGUACGGAACAACACAGGGAAACUUGUGCUAAUACCGUAUGUGCCCUUCGGGGGAAAGAUUUAUCGUCUUUGGAGCAGCCCGCGUUGGAUUAGGUAGUUGGUGAGGGAAAGGCUCACCAAGCCGACGAUCCAUAGCUGGUCUGGGAGGAUGACCAGCCACACUGGGACUGAGACACGGCCCAUGCUCCUACGGGAGGCAGCAGUAGGGAAUCUUGCGCAAUAGGCGAAAGCCUGACGCAGCCAGGCCGCGUGUAUGAUGAAGGUCUUAGGAUUGUAAAAUACUUUCACCGGGGAAGUUAAUGACGGUACCCGGAGAAGAAGCCCCGGCUAACUUCGUGCCAGCCGCCGCAGUAA